AUUGAACGCUGGCGGCAGGCCUAACACAUGCAAGUCGAACGGUAGCACAGAGGAGCUUGCUCCUUGGGUGACGAGUGGCGGACGGGUGAGUAAUGUCUGGGAAACUGCCCGAUGGAGGGGGAUAACUACUGGAAACGGUAGCUAAUACCGCAUAACGUCGCAAGACCAAAGAGGGGGACCUUCGGGCCUCUUGCCAUCGGAUGUGCCCAGAUGGGAUUAGCUAGUAGGUGGGGUAACGGCUCACCUAGGCGACGAUCCCUAGCUGGUCUGAGAGGAUGACCAGCCACACUGGAACUGAGACACGGUCCAGACUCCUACGGGAGGCAGCAGUGGGGAAUAUUGCACAAUGGGCGCAAGCCUGAUGCAGCCAUGCCGCGUGUAUGAAGAAGGCCUUCGGGUUGUAAAGUACUUUCAGCGAGGAGGAAGGUGUUGAGGUUAACAACCUCAGCAAUUGACGUUACUCGCAGAAGAAGCACCGGCUAACUCCGUGCCAGCAGCCGCAGUAA
rnacentral:rRNA from 1 species